rnacentral:rRNA from 1 species
UACGGGGGUGGCAAGCGUUGUUCGGAAUUACUGGGCGUAAAGGGCGCGUAGGCGGGGAGGUAAGUCGGGUGUGAAAUCCCUCGGCUCAACCGAGGAACUGCGCCCGAGACUGCCUUUCUUGAGUCCCGGAGAGGAAGGUGGAAUUCCCGGUGUAGCGGUGAAAUGUGUAGAGAUCGGGAGGAACACCGGUGGCGAAGGCGGCCUUCUGGACGGUGACUGACGCUGAGGCGCGAAAGCGUGGGGAGCAAACGGG